rnacentral:lncRNA from 1 species
UUUGUUAAGUUUUGAAAAUGAUUACUCGACGUUGGAUCGAGCUUUUUAUCUUACUUUGAAAUGGUUAUCGGAUGUUCGUUUUAAUUCUUGUAUUAACAGGUGAAUAAAGAAAUAAAGAAAUAAAUAUUAUACACUUUAUGGGAGAGGGGUACAUUUGUUAUGAAUGGGGAUUAUUCAUGGCAAACAAACAAUAAGAAUAUAUGUCUCAUACAUCAUACAAGUAGGAAACAGUUAUCAAUCAGAUCGGAUAAAUAAACAAUAUAUAAUCAAACCAAAGAAUCAAAUAAUGGAGCAUUUAAACAACGCAUGAGAGUAUGAACAUGUUAAAUAAUCAAGCAAUAGAAAGCAUGCAUGAGAGA